rnacentral:rRNA from 1 species
UACGAAGGGGGCUAGCGUUGCUCGGAAUCACUGGGCGUAAAGCGCACGUAGGCAGAUCUUUUAAGUCAGAGGUGAAAUCCCAAGGCUCAACCUUGGAACUGCCUUUGAUACUGGGGAUCUCGAGUCCGGAAGAGGUGAGUGGAACUGCGAGUGUAGAGGUGAAAUUCGUAGAUAUUCGCAAGAACACCAGUGGCGAAGGCGGCUCACUGGUCCGGUACUGACGCUGAGGUGCGAAAGCGUGGGGAGCAAACAGG